GGAUGGAUCACCUCCUUUCUAAGGAAAUGUAGAAUCAUCAUCUUCAGUUUUGAAAGACUUAGUUAAGUUUUUCUCAUUUAUUUUAUUUUUUUGAUAUCCUGGGCCUAUAGCUCAGUUGGUUAGAGCACACGCCUGAUAAGCGUGAGGUCGGUGGUUCAAGUCCAUUUAGGCCCACCAAACGUUUUUAUAAAAAACGUGUUAUCAAAAGAAAGUUCUUUGAAAAGUAGAUAAACAAGAAAAUAAUAUCCGUUUUUAAAGGAAGUAAGGGCGUACAGUGGAUGCCUUGGCACUAAGAGCCGAUGAAGGACGCAAUUAACGGCGAUACGCCAUGGGGAGUUGUAAAUAAAUGUAGAUCCAUGGAUUUCCGAAUGGGGCAACCUACUACAAUAAAAUUGUAGUUUUUUAGUAGUUUACUACUAGAAAGGGAAACGCAGUGAACUGAAAUAUCUAAGUAACUGCAGGAAAAGAAAGUAACAACGAUUCCGGUAGUAGUGACGAGCGAAUCCGGACCAGCCUGAUACGAAUCCUAGUUAUCAAAGAAAAAAAUAUCUGAAGUUUUUGGAAAAAAACACCCUAGAAGGUAAUAGUCCUGUAAGGAAAAUUUUUUUCUCUAGCGUAUCGAAAAGUACGGCGAGACACGAGAAAUCUUGUCGGAAGACGGGAGGACCAUCUCCCAAGGCUAAAUACUCCUUAGUGACCGAUAGUGAACAAGUACCGUGAGGGAAAGGCGAA
rnacentral:misc_RNA from 1 species